GGGCUUGACAUCCCACGAACCUGCCUGAAAGGACGGGGUGCCCGCAAGGGAGCGUGGAGACAGGUGGUGCAUGGCUGUCGUCAGCUCGUGUCGUGAGAUGUUGGGUUAAGUCCCGCAACGAGCGCAACCCUCACCCCUAGUUGCCACCGGGUAAUGCCGAGCACUCGAGGGGAACUGCCAGCGUCAAGCUGGAGGAAGGCGGGGAUGACGUCAAGUCAUCAUGCCCCUUACGUCCUGGGCUACACACGUGCUACAAUGGCCGGUACAAAGGGAUGCGAGACCGCGAGGUGGAGCCAAUCCCAAAAAGCUGGUCUAAGUUCGGAUUGCAGUCUGCAACUCGACUGCAUGAAGUAGGAAUCGCUAGUAAUCGCGCAUCAGCACGGCGCGGUGAAUACGUUCCCGGGCCUUGUACACACCGCCCGUCACACCACGAAAGCUGGCUGUACUCGAAGUCGCUGAG
rnacentral:rRNA from 1 species